rnacentral:rRNA from 1 species
AUUGAACGCUGGCGGCAUGCUUUACACAUGCAAGUCGAACGGAUUUUGGAGCUUGCUCCAGAGUUAGUGGCGAACGGGUGAGUAAUAUAUCGGAACGUACCCGGCAAUGGGGGAUAACGUAGCGAAAGUUACGCUAACACCGCAUAUGCCCUGAGGGGGAAAGCAGGGGACCAGUAAUGGCCUUGCGUUGUCGGAGCGGCCGAUAUCGGAUUAGCUAGUUGGUGAGGUAAAGGCUCACCAAGGCGACGAUCCGUAGCGGGUCUGAGAGGAUGAUCCGCCACACUGGGACUGAGACACGGCCCAGACUCCUACGGGAGGCAGCAGUGGGGAAUUUUGGACAAUGGGCGAAAGCCUGAUCCAGCCAUGCCGCGUGAGUGAAGAAGGCCUUCGGGUUGUAAAGCUCUUUCAGGUGGAAAGAAAAGGUUACGGAUAAUACCUGUAACUGAUGACGGUACCAUCAGAAGAAGCACCGGCUAACUACGUGCCAGCCGCCGCGGUAA